UACGUAGGUGGCUAGCGUUGUCCGGAUUUACUGGGCGUAAAGAGCGCGCAGGCGGUCGUUCAAGUCGAGUGUGAAAGCCCCCGGCUCAACUGGGGAGGGUCACUCGAUACUGCUCGACUCGAAGGCAGGAGAGGGAAGCGGAAUUCCCGGUGUAGUGGUGAAAUGCGUAGAUAUCGGGAGGAACACCGGUGGCGAAGGCGGCGAGCUGGCCUGUAACUGACGCUGAGGCGCGAAAGCGUGGGGAGCAAACAGG
rnacentral:rRNA from 1 species